UACGUAGGCAGCGAGCGUUGUUCGGAAUUACUGGGCGUAAAGAGUGUGUAGGCGGUGCUCCCAGUCUGUUGUGAAAUCUCCCGGCUUAACUGGGAGGGUGCAGCGGAAACUAGAGUGCUAGAGGGUGGGAGAGGUAAGCGGAAUUCCUGGUGUAGCGGUGAAAUGCGUAGAUAUCAGGAGGAACACCUGUGGUGUAGACAGCUUACUGGACCACUUCUGACGCUGAGACACGAAAGCGUGGGGAGCGAACCGG
rnacentral:rRNA from 1 species